AUUGAACGCUGGCGGCAGGCCUAACACAUGCAAGUCGAGCGGCAGCACAGUGAGGCUUUCCCCCUGGGUGACGAGCGUCGGGGGGGUGUGAAAUGUCCGUGAAACUCCCCGUUUUCGGGGGGUAACUAGUGGAAACGGUUGCGCUAAUCGCAUAUAGGCCCAACGGCAAAAAGCAGGACCUCUUCGCCCCUUGCCCGCAUGAAUGAGCCGAUGUCGGAUUAGCUAGGUGGCGGGGUAAGGGCUCACCGAGGCGACGCUCCGUAGCUGGUCUGAGAGGAUGACCAGCCACACUGGAACUGAGACACGGUCCAGACUCCUACGGGAGGCAGCAGUGGGGAAUAUUGCACAAUGGGCGCAAGCCUGAUGCAGCCAUGCCGCGUGUGUGAAGAAGGCCUUCGGGUUGUAAAGCACUUUCAGCGGGGAAGAAAAUGAGCAGGUUAAUACGUUCAUGUAUUGACGUUACUCAAAGAAGAAGCACCGGCUAACUUCGUG
rnacentral:rRNA from 1 species